AUUGAACGCUGGCGGCAGGCCUAACACAUGCAAGUCAGGCGGAUGAAGGGAGCUUGCUCCUGGAUUCAGCGGCGGACGGGUGAGUAAUGCCUAGGAAUCUGCCUGGUAGUGGGGGAUAACGUCCGGAAACGGGCGCUAAUACCGCAUACGUCCUGAGGGAGAAAGUGGGGGAUCUUCGGACCUCACGCUAUCAGAUGAGCCUAGGUCGGAUUAGCUAGUUGGUGGGGUAAAGGCCUACCAAGGCGACGAUCCGUAACUGGUCUGAGAGGAUGAUCAGUCACACUGGAACUGAGACACGGUCCAGACUCCUACGGGAGGCAGCAGUGGGGAAUAUUGGACAAUGGGCGAAAGCCUGAUCCAGCCAUGCCGCGUGUGUGAAGAAGGUCUUCGGAUUGUAAAGCACUUUAAGUUGGGAGGAAGGGCAGUAAGUUAAUACCUUGCUGUUUUGACGUUACCAACAGAAUAAGCACCGGCUAACUUCGUG
rnacentral:rRNA from 1 species